rnacentral:rRNA from 1 species
UACGUAGGGGGCUAGCGUUGUCCGGAAUUACUGGGCGUAAAGGGCUCGUAGGCGGCCAACUAAGUCGGACGUGAAAUCCCCAGGCUCAACCUGGGAACUGCGUCCGAUACUGGAUGGCUUGAAUCCGGGAGAGGGAUGCAGAAUUCCAGGUGUAGCGGUGAAAUGCGUAGAUAUUCGGAAGAACACCAGUGGCGAAGGCGGCUCACUGGCCCGUUACCGACGCUCAGGCGCGACAGCGUGGGGAGCAAACAGG